rnacentral:misc_RNA from 1 species
CCAAUAGCGUAUAUUAGUGUUGUUGCGGUUAAAAAGCUCGUAGUUGAAUUUCGGGAUUGGGAUAUAUCGGUCGUGCCUUUAGGGGCAUGAAUCGGUGUGUGGCCAAUUCUCACCUUCUGGUGAAUUGGGAUGCUCUCGGGUGUUUCAAUGAACUAGGACUUUUACUUUGAAAAAAUUAGAGUGUUUAAAGCGGGCAUUUUUGCUUGAAUACGUUAGCAUGGAAUAAUAAAAUAGGACGAUGGUUCUAUUUUGUUGGUUUUAGGACCACGUAAUGAUUAAUAGGGAUAGUUGGGGGCAUUAGUAUUCAAUUGUCAGAGGUGAAAUUCUUGGAUUUAUUGAGGACUAACUACUGCGAAAGCAUUUGCCAAGGAUGUUUUCAUUAAUCAAGAACGAAAGUUAGGGGAUCAAAGACGAUUUAUGUACGUCGUAGUCUUAACCAUAAACUAUGCCGACUAGGAAUCAGACAAAGUUAAUUUUUUAACGACUUGUUUGGUACCUUAC